rnacentral:rRNA from 1 species
CAGCAGCCACGGUAAUACGAAGGGUGCAAGCGUUAAUCGGAAUUACUGGGCGUAAAGCGUGCGUAGGCGGUGAGUUAAGUCUGCUGUGAAAUCCCCGGGCUCAACCUGGGAAUGGCAGUGGAUACUGGCUCGCUAGAGUGUGUCAGAGGAUGGUGGAAUUCCCGGUGUAGCGGUGAAAUGCGUAGAGAUCGGGAGGAACAUCAGUGGCGAAGGCGGCCAUCUGGGACAACACUGACGCUGAGGCACGAAAGCGUGGGGAGCAAACAAGAUUAGAUACCCGAGUAGUCCCUGUCUCUUAUAC